rnacentral:lncRNA from 1 species
ACCAUCGCGAACAAAAGUUAGAAAAAAGCAAACCAAAAGCGCUAGGAUGCUAAAAUUAAAAAAAAACAUGAGUAGACGGCCGCCCUUGAUCAUAUCCGAUCAAUCCUUAAUUAAAUUGGAGCCUCCACGUUAAGAACUUAUAAGGUGUACUGAAGUCAAACUAGCACUAUAAGAUAUAAAAUCUCCCGGUUAGCUGUUGGAUGAGCCGAUCCAGUGGUCCACAAACAACACAGCAAACCUAUCGUCUUCUUCUAUCCCGCGAACUUGAACCGGUCUCAAGCUACAAACACGUGUUAGCUUUAGCUGUAAACAUUCACUUGUGAAUGGUUGAGGCCGGAUUUUCCUUAAUUAAAAAGUGAAUGGUUGAGGCCGGAUUUUCCUUAAUUAAAAAACCGCGUGUUAGCUCAUGAAUCUUUAAUUUCUUUCCCCGGCAGCCUCGAUGGUUGACAAGGAGCAAACCUUCAAAAGAUACGCAUCUACUCAUCCAUCCCAAAUUAUAAGUCAUUCCAAGAAUCUUGGAGAAUCAAAGUAUCUCAAGUUUGACCAAAUUUAUAUAAUAAUAUAAUAACAUUUAUGAUGUCAUCUAAGUAUCAUUAGAUUCUUCAUCAAUUAUAUUUUUAUAGUAUACCUACUUGAUGUCAUAAAUCUUUAUAAUUUUCUCUAUAAUUUUGAUCAAACUUGAGAUGCUUUGACUUUCCAAAAUUUUUAGAAUAACUUAUAAUUUGAGAUGGAGGGAGUAGGACGCAAUCGUCGUGUGGCCACCAAUCAUGCAAAGAUAAUCCACGCUCUCACGGCCUCGGCCGGGCUCCACAGCUGGGGUGUGUACGUGUGGUGGGCCGGGAUACUACCGAAAACGGCAAGGAGACUCCUGUGCAGUAGAUGUAGCUGCAGAGGAUAUGUUUCCGAAAAUGAGAAAGCUCAACUCCACGGUACUAUGCCUUUGACCAGAAGCGCAUAACAAACGCAUACUGCACAUUUGCGAGCGGUUCUCCUGCUACAAUAUAA